rnacentral:rRNA from 2 species
CAAGUCGAACGCGUUGGCCCAAUUGAUUGAUGGUGCUUGCACCUGAUUGAUUUUGGUCGCCAACGAGUGGCGGACGGGUGAGUAACACGUAGGUAACCUGCCCAGAAGCGGGGGACAACAUUUGGAAACAGAUGCUAAUACCGCAUAACAGCGUUGUUCGCAUGAACAACGCUUAAAAGAUGGCUUCUCGCUAUCACUUCUGGAUGGACCUGCGGUGCAUUAGCUUGUUGGUGGGGUAACGGCCUACCAAGGCGAUGAUGCAUAGCCGAGUUGAGAGACUGAUCGGCCACAAUGGGACUGAGACACGGCCCAUACUCCUACGGGAGGCAGCAGUAGGGAAUCUUCCACAAUGGGCGCAAGCCUGAUGGAGCAACACCGCGUGAGUGAAGAAGGGUUUCGGCUCGUAAAGCUCUGUUGUUAAAGAAGAACACGUAUGAGAGUAACUGUUCAUACGUUGACGGUAUUUAACCAGAAAGUCACGGCUAACUACGUGCCAGCAGCCGCGGUAAUACGUAGGUGGCAAGCGUUAUCCGGAUUUAUUGGGCGUAAAGAGAGUGCAGGCGGUUUUCUAAGUCUGAUGUGAAAGCCUUCGGCUUAACCGGAGAAGUGCAUCGGAAACUGGAUAACUUGAGUGCAGAAGAGGGUAGUGGAACUCCAUGUGUAGCGGUGGAAUGCGUAGAUAUAUGGAAGAACACCAGUGGCGAAGGCGGCUACCUGGUCUGCAACUGACGCUGAGACUCGAAAGCAUGGGUAGCGAACAGGAUUAGAUACCCUGGUAGUCCAUGCCGUAAACGAUGAGUGCUAGGUGUUGGAGGGUUUCCGCCCUUCAGUGCCGGAGCUAACGCAUUAAGCACUCCGCCUGGGGAGUACGACCGCAAGGUUGAAACUCAAAGGAAUUGACGGGGGCCCGCACAAGCGGUGGAGCAUGUGGUUUAAUUCGAAGCUACGCGAAGAACCUUACCAGGUCUUGACAUCUUGCGCCAACCCUAGAGAUAGGGCGUUUCCUUCGGGAACGCAAUGACAGGUGGUGCAUGGUCGUCGUCAGCUCGUGUCGUGAGAUGUUGGGUUAAGUCCCGCAACGAGCGCAACCCUUGUUACUAGUUGCCAGCAUUAAGUUGGGCACUCUAGUGAGACUGCCGGUGACAAACCGGAGGAAGGUGGGGACGACGUCAGAUCAUCAUGCCCCUUAUGACCUGGGCUACACACGUGCUACAAUGGACGGUACAACGAGUCGCGAACUCGCGAGGGCAAGCAAAUCUCUUAAAACCGUUCUCAGUUCGGACUGCAGGCUGCAACUCGCCUGCACGAAGUCGGAAUCGCUAGUAAUCGCGGAUCAGCAUGCCGCGGUGAAUACGUUCCCGGGCCUUGUACACACCGCCCGUCACACCAUGAGAGUUUGUAACACCCAAAGUCGGUGGGGUAACCUUUAGGAGCCAGCCGCCUAA